UACGUAGGGUGCGAGCGUUAAUCGGAAUUACUGGGCGUAAAGCGUGCGCAGGCGGUUUUGUAAGCCGGAUGUGAAAUCCCCGGGCUCAACCUGGGAAUGGCAUUUGGGACUGCAAGGCUGGAGUGCGGCAGAGGGGGAUGGAAUUCCGCGUGUAGCAGUGAAAUGCGUAGAUAUGCGGAGGAACACCGAUGGCGAAAGGCAAUCCCCCUGGGCCUGCACUGACGCUCAUGCACGAAAGCGUGGGGAGCAAACAGG
rnacentral:rRNA from 1 species